ACGGCUCAGUAACACGUAGUCAAUCUACCCUAUGGACGGGAAUAACCUCGGGAAACUGAGAAUAAUGCCCGAUAGAACAUUAUGCCUGGAAUGGUUUAUGUUCCAAAUGAUUUAUCGCCAUAGGAUGGGACUGCGGCCUAUCAGUUUGUUGGUGAGGUAAUGGCCCACCAAGACUAUUACAGGUACGGGCUCUGAGAGGAGUGGCCCGGAGAUGGGUACUGAGACACGGACCCAGGCCCUAUGGGGCGCAGCAGGCGAGAAAACUUUGCAAUGUGCGAAAGCACGACAAGGUUAAUCCGAGUGGUUUCUGCUAAAGAAACCUUUUGUCAGUCCUAGAAACACUAACGAAUAAGGGGUGGGCAAGUUCUGGUGUCAGCCGCCGCGGUAAAACCAGCACCUCAAGUGGUCAGGAUGAUUAUUGGGCCUAAAGCAUCCGUAGCUCGUUUUGUAAGUUUUCGGUUAAAUCCAUGCGCUUAACGUAUGGGCUGCCGGGAAUACUGCAUAACUAGGAAGUGGGAGAGGUAGACGGUACUCGGUAGGAAGGGGUAAAAUCCUUUGAUCUAUUGAUGACCACCUGUGGCGAAGGCGGUCUACCAGAACACGUUCGACGGUGAGGGAUGAAAGCUGGGGGAGCAAACCGGAUUAGAUACCCGGGUAGUCCCAGCUGUAAACUAUGCAAACUCAGUGAUGCAUUGGCUUGUGGCCAAUGCAGUGCUGCAGGGAAGCCGUUAAGUUUGCCGCCUGGGAAGUACGUACGCAAGUAUGAAACUUAAAGGAAUUGGCGGGGGAGCAC
rnacentral:rRNA from 1 species